AGUGAACGCUGGCGGUAGGCCUAACACAUGCAAGUCGAACGGCAGCACAGGAGAGCUUGCUCUCUGGGUGGCGAGUGGCGGACGGGUGAGGAAUACAUCGGAAUCUACUUUUUCGUGGGGGAUAACGUAGGGAAACUUACGCUAAUACCGCAUACGACCUACGGGUGAAAGCAGGGGAUCUUCGGACCUUGCGCGAUUGAAUGAGCCGAUGUCGGAUUAGCUAGUUGGCGGGGUAAAGGCCCACCAAGGCGACGACCCGUAGCUGGGCUGAGAGGAUGAUCAGCCACACUGGAACUGAGACACGGUCCAGACUCCUACGGGAGGCAGCAGUGGGGAAUAUUGGACAAUGGGCGCAAGCCUGAUCCAGCCAUACCGCGUGGGUGAAGAAGGCCUUCGGGUUGUAAAGCCCUUUUGUUGGGAAAGAAAUCCAGCUGGUUAAUACCCGGUUGGGAUGACGGUACCCAAAGAAUAAGCACCGGCUAACUUCGUGCCAGCAGCCGCCGUAA
rnacentral:rRNA from 1 species